rnacentral:rRNA from 1 species
CAGGAUGAACGCUGGCGGUCUGCUUAACACAUGCAAGUCGAACGCAACCUUCGGGUUGAGUGGCGGACGGGUGAGUAACGCGUGAGAAUCUGCCUUGGGGUCGGGGACAACCACUGGAAACGGUGGCUAAUACCGGAUAAGCCUUUGGGUAAAAGAUUUAUUGCCCCAAGAGGAGCUCGCGUCUGAUUAGCUAGUUGGUGAGGUAAAAGCUCACCAAGGCAGCGAUCAGUAGCUGGUCUGAGAGGACGAUCAGCCACACUGGGACUGAGACACGGCCCAGACUCCUACGGGAGGCAGCAGUGGGGAAUUUUCCGCAAUGGGCGAAAGCCUGACGGAGCAAGACCGCGUGAGGGAGGAAGGCUCUUGGGUUGUAAACCUCUUUUCUCAGGGAAGAAGCUCUGACGGUACCUGAGGAAUCAGCCUCGGCUAACUCCGUGCCAGCAGCCGCGGUAAUACGGAGGAGGCAAGCGUUAUCCGGAAUUAUUGGGCGUAAAGCGUCCGCAGGUGGCGAUUCAAGUCUGCUGUCAAAGCACGGGGCUUAACUCCGUUAAGGCAGUGAAAACUGAAUAGCUAGAGUGCCGUAGGGGUAGAGGGAAUUCCCGGUGUAGCGGUGAAAUGCGUAGAGAUCGGGAAGAACAUCGGUGGCGAAAGCGCUCUACUGGACGGCAACUGACACUCAGGGACGAAAGCUAGGGGAGCGAAUGGGAUUAGAUACCCCAGUAGUCCUAGCUGUAAACGAUGGAUACUAGGUGUAGCUUGUAUCGACCCGAGCUGUGCCGAAGCUAACGCGUUAAGUAUCCCGCCUGGGGAGUACGCACGCAAGUGUGAAACUCAAAGGAAUUGACGGGGGCCCGCACAAGCGGUGGAGUAUGUGGUUUACUUCGAUGCAACGCGAAGAAACUUACCAGGGCUUGACCUGUCCGGAAUCCCGGUGAAAGCUGGGA